AGGCUGAGUAGUCUCAAGAUCUGAAGACAGCAGAAACCUGGGAAAGUUAAUGAUAUACGUUGUUAUACUCCAAGUGUGAGUCUGAAGACAAGGGAAGACCAACGUCCAAGCUUGAAGACAGUCAGAUAGAGUGAUAAUUGCUCAAAAUAAUAUGUGAGACAUAAAGAUUUCAGACUCCCACAGACUUUAAAAUACUGUGCUGCUGAAACAUUGAAGAAGCACAUUGAUCAUUCUGCAGCCUGGCUAAGGAUGAAGAUAACUGAUAAACUAUUAUAUACCACUUAACAUUGAAGAACUUAAGAAUGUGCAAUGAGAGUUAAACUUCGAAUCACGCAUGGCAAUCAGUGCCUACUCAUGCCAUUUCACUUCAAAGGGACGGUGUCUAGAAACAUUCUUUUUACAAGGCAUUGAUAUAUGUAAAGAAUGUAUCAAUGAAUAGAUGAUGGUGGUGUUUCAGUUACAAAAGCAGAGAAAGAAAUUUGUUACUGAAGGCAAACUUGUACACCUGGGCAAAGCACUUGCAUUCUUUUAAGUUCUGUCAAAGGUAGUACUUCUCAAACUUAAAUAUGCAUGCAAAUCACCUGAGGAAUCACAGAAGAAUUCAGAUUCUCAUGUGAAGGUCUAGAGUGGGGCUUGACCCUCUGCAUAAUAAGCUUCCAAGUGAUGCUGAUACAGCUUGUCCACUUUGAAUAACAAGGAUUUAGUUGAAAGAAACCCUGAAUCAUGGACAUACUUUGAUUUAUCUCUGCUCUUUCUUGAUUUGGACUCAUUAAACCAACUUCAGAUUACAAUUUGCCUUCUCUGUUGGUUUAUCUAAAUAGCAGUAUUGUUAAUCCCAAGAUUGUAUCCCUUAUGGUGAAUAAACAUGUGGACAUUCCAGAUUUAUGCAUUUAGGCAUUUAUUUCUGUGAGGUUGGUUAAUGUGCAUUUGUUUCAGAUGAGGUUAAUAAAAU
rnacentral:lncRNA from 10 species